GUAGCUCAGUGGUAGAGUGUUUGCUUAGCAAGCACAAGUCCCUGGGUUCAAUACCCAGC
rnacentral:tRNA from 1 species